AAGACUAUACUUUCAGGGAUGUUUUUUAUAGUUCGUUACUAGAGAAGUUUCUCUGAUAGUUUAGAGCACCUGAAACCACCACAAGGAGUCAGAGCAUCCUCUCCUGAGAAUGAAACCAAUUCUAGGUGGAGAUUUUGUAACUGUCUUUUACCAUUGAUGAUGGUUCUCUUCCUCUGGCAGAGUGAGAGGGGGAAGAUGUAGUCUGAGUGGA